rnacentral:rRNA from 1 species
ACGGGAGGCAGCAGUGGGGAAUAUUGGACAAUGGGCGCAAGCCUGAUCCAGCGACGCCGCGUGAGUGAAGAAGUAUUUCGGUAUGUAAAGCUCUAUCAGCAGGGAAGAUAAUGACGGUACCUGACUAAGAAGCCCCGGCUAACUACGUGCCAGCAGCCGCGGUAAUACGUAGGGGGCAAGCGUUAUCCGGAUUUACUGGGUGUAAAGGGUGCGUAGGCGGCACAACAAGUCAGUCGUUUAAUUUCGGAGCUUAACUCCGAAUCGGCGAUUGAAACUGUUGAGCUAGAGUACAGGAGAGGUAAGCGGAAUUACUAGUGUAGAGGUGGAAUUCGUAGAUAUUAGUAAGAACACCAAUGGCGAAGGCAGCUUACUGGCCUGCAACAGACGCUGAGGCACGAAAGUGUGGGGAGCAAACAGGAUUAGAUACCCUGGUA